CACCGCGCCCAGUCCCCCAUCCUAACUUCUAACAACAUAGGUUAGUUUUGCUGGCUUUUCCCUUCUUAUGAAUGAAUUCAAAUUGUGUCUAGCUCAUUGUGUUCAAAUUGUAUUUGGAAAUUCACCCACAUUAUUGCCUAAGGUUGAAGAUAGUUUAUUUUUGUUGCUGUGCAGUAUGUGUGAAUAUAUCACACAAUGUAUAUGACGUAUACUUAUCCAUUCCAAUGCUAAGGUGAACGUGGGAAAUUUCUAGUUUGGAAUGGUAAUCCCUUCACUGACUUUUUGCCUGCUGGUCUGUGUCAGUCUUUUAGUUGCAAGAAACAGAACUUCCUCUGGACAACCUGACUCAGAAAGAUGGGUUUGCCAGAACCAUUCUGCCUAGCUCAUAGAAUAGAAGGAAAAGGGGAACAGCCAGGCUUUAUUAGGGACGCCCUUACUAGGGGACCCUGGUGGCAAGAACUCGAGGACAACCUCUCUGAGACAGAAGGGCAAGUGGCUCGACUUGCCUAGAGCAGGGUUCCUACCUCUGUUGCGUGGGACCCUAGUGGUCCCCAGGAAUUUUAGAGUGUGCCAUGGAGGAAAACAAGACCUGUGGCUCAUUCAGUUGGAAAAGUGGUUUAAAAAGGUUACACUUCUCAGGACCUUUCACAGGAGAGGGCACACUCUAAUCUCAAGGAAGGGAUAUUCCUGAACUUGGCUUUUCUCAUGGGGCAUCUACUCAUAUCUGAAGGGCACUCGUGCUCCAAGAAACACAGCUUGGGAAAAUGCUAAGCCAAAGCCAAGUGAACAGAGGGGAGAAGUGGAAAAUACGUUUUGGCCUGCAUUUUUAAUGCACAGAUAGGGACUUUUUUUUUUUUCUGGAAAAUAGGAAACUCUGAAAACAGAUGCUCAGUGUGUGACCCUUCAGGAAGCGCCGUCUGGCAAGUGUGAGAGUUACAGUUUGCAGGGUGCCCUCGGGUCCACUGUCGCAUCCGUUCCCAGGGCUGGGUGGUAUGGGUGGGAUGCCCAGAUGACGGAACUGGCCGCCGAUGUCACGCGCUCCUAGAAAGCGGAGAAUCCAGGGCAGAGUUAGAGUCAGACCUAGGCUCUCGCAGAGAACUGCAUCGCGCUCCCAGCUCUGCUGCCUCGGUGCGGGGACGGGGCUCUGCAUGAGGACUGGGAAUGUAAGUCCCGGGCCUGGACAGGCGCCCCUGGGAGCUAGCCUGGAGGAGAUUCAGUAGAAGGCUGAGGAGUCGGCUUGGAGGGUCUCGGCAAGGCGGCGCGGAUGGAGAUGAAGCUGCGAAGAAUGCUGAGAAAGAGCGGCCGGGGGCCUUGGAGGGAAGCUAGGGAAACGCUGCGGGGGCAGCCGAGGCCGUCGGCGCCCCGGGAGAAGAGAAAAGCAGCCUGAUUCGGAGGAACGGGUUGCUUGGGGCGGCUCCCAGCUCGAGUUGUGGGCCCCGCCGCGGGUGCCCUUCGGAAACGCGCUGACACCAGGCGAAGCCGCCUCUGCCCGGACGCAGCCCGACACUUGGCCCGCGGGGUUCCCCGGGACGCCUGAGAGUAAUGGGCGCGAGGGGGAAAGCCGAACGGCCUCCCUGUGCCCGGCGCAGGCGGUGCCCCCUAGCUGGGUUCGCCGCGGCGGCGCUGCGAGCCCCCGACACUGAGGACUUUUGGUCCAACAGUCCGACGGGGCCCGGUGCGCCGUUCCCUCCGCCCUCUCCCCGCUCCCCGGCCCGCGCGUCUUGGAGGGUGGGUGAAUUGUCGGAAGCACUCUACGCCUGGCCAACCCAAACCAGGAACCUCCGCACCAAACAGCCCACGUUGCUGCUGCUCUGGGGUUUUAACGGCCAAGGGAGACUGGAGAAGGGGUGUUCUGCCUUCCCAUUCUCUUAGGCCCGUCCACUCCCCAUCCCCACAGUUUGGAAGUGGCCUUUUCUGAGGACUCCAGCGCAAAGCAUGUUUCUCCUUUUGAGCUGCGGAAGCCUUGCUUGUUCCCGCCAUUGGGAGGGCAUUCCAUCAUCUGCAGCUGCCUUCCUCGGUGGGCCUUGUCCCUUAGCGUCCACCUAGGGGACAUUCUAAGCUUCUUGAGACCUGCUUGUCCACCCCAACAUGUCUCAGCAUAUGGCUGUGCCCUAAGGGGUCUUUGAGGGCAUUUUAGGAGGUGAGCGGCGCCCCUACCUGGGCUCCGCGGGGCCGAUUCGGUUUGCCCUUUGCUGGCAUGUCAGUGAAUUAACUGCUGUCCUUGGGAUGACCUGCCCUAUGAUUUGGCCUCUGGAGCAUCCCGGGUGUGUAUUUCAGAACUCCUCCCAUCUUAUCCACCUGCUGAAGGCCUGGCCCCCUGAUAUGGUUUGGCUCUGUUUCCCCACCCAAAUCUCACCUUGAAUUUUAAUAAUCCCCACGUGUCAUGGGCGGGACCAGGUGGAGGUAAUUGAAUCAUGGAGGUGGUUUCCUGAACGCUGCUCUCGUGACAGUGAGUUCACAAGAUUUUUUUUUUUAACGGAGUAUCACUCUGUCACUCAGGCUGGAGUGCAGUGGCGCGAUCUUGGUUCACUGCAACCUCUGCCUCCCGGGUUCAAGAGAUUCUCCUGCCUCAGCCUCCCGAGUAGCUGGGAUUACAGGUGCGCGCCAUCACGCCCGGCUAAUGUGUAUUUUUAGUAGAGAAAGGGUUUCACCAUGUUGGUUAGGCUGGUCUGGAACUCCUGACCUUGUGAUCUGCCUGCCUCGGCCUCCCAAAGUGCUGGGAUUACACGCGUGAGCCACUGUGCCCAGCCGAUCUGAUGCUUUUAUAAAGGGCUUUCCCCGUCCCCCUUCCUCUCUCUCACCACCCUGUGAGAAAGGUGCCUUUCUUCCCCCUUCACGUGAACUGCCUCCAUGAUUGUAAGCUUCCUGAGGCCUCCCCAGCUAUAAGGAACUGUGAGCCAAUUAAACUGCUUUAUAAAUUAACCCAGGUAUUUCUCGGGUAUUUCUUCAUAGCAGCGUGAGAAUGGACUGAUACACCCCCAAUGUGGAGUAGGGGAAGCUGAGGGAGUUAGGAGGUCCCAGCAAGGUGAAGGUGUGAUGGGGUCUUGGGACAGUGAGAGUGCUGCCUCAGGCAACAGUGGGCAGGUCAUUGAGGCUCCAUUGAGCUUGGUGAGCAGGAAGCUGAGAGAGGGAGCUGUCGAUUCAGGAGUCAGGGGUGACAUGGAAGGAACCUAGGGCUUUGCCAGGCACAGGUGAAGGAAGGCCACUUAGGUACUGGCAGUGGGAAGAGAGGGCAGGGAGUGGUGGACGGAGAGGAAGAGAAAGCUGAAC
rnacentral:lncRNA from 1 species